GGGUUCUACCGUUGGUCGGGCUUUGUCUGUACUGGCGUGUAGAAUUUCUACCUUCUGGGGAACCAUUAUGUUAUUAAUUUAGCGUGGUGGGAAACCAGGACCUUUACCUUGAAAAAAUUAGAGUGUUCAAAGCAGGCUUAUGUCUGAAUACAUUAGCAUGGAAUAAUAGAAUAGGACGGUGGUCCUGUUUUGUUGGUUUCUGAAUCACCGUA
rnacentral:rRNA from 1 species